CCCUUAGAGUUUGAUCCUGGCUCAGGACGAACGCUGGCGGCGUGCCUAAUACAUGCAAGUCGAGCGAAUCGAUGGGAGCUUGCUCCCUGAGAUUAGCGGCGGACGGGUGAGUAACACGUGGGCAACCUGCCUAUAAGACUGGGAUAACUUCGGGAAACCGGAGCUAAUACCGGAUACGUUCUUUUCUCGCAUGAGAGAAGAUGGAAAGACGGUUUACGCUGUCACUUAUGGAUGGGCCCGCGGCGCAUUAGCUAGUUGGUGAGGUAAUGGCUCACCAAGGCGACGAUGCGUAGCCGACCUGAGAGGGUGAUCGGCCACACUGGGACUGAGACACGGCCCAGACUCCUACGGGAGGCAGCAGUAGGGAAUCUUCCGCAAUGGACGAAAGUCUGACGGAGCAACGCCGCGUGAACGAAGAAGGCCUUCGGGUCGUAAAGUUCUGUUGUUAGGGAAGAACAAGUACCAGAGUAACUGCUGGUACCUUGACGGUACCUAACCAGAAAGCCACGGCUAACUACGUGCCAGCAGCCGCGGUAAUACGUAGGUGGCAAGCGUUGUCCGGAAUUAUUGGGCGUAAAGCGCGCGCAGGUGGUACCUUAAGUCUGAUGUGAAAGCCCACGGCUCAACCGUGGAGGGUCAUUGGAAACUGGGGAACUUGAGUGCAGAAGAGGAAAGUGGAAUUCCAAGUGUAGCGGUGAAAUGCGUAGAGAUUUGGAGGA
rnacentral:rRNA from 1 species